UCCCAUGGAUCAGGCAAUUGUUCUCAGUGGUGUUGAAUAUGAUUUUUCCCAUAACUUUUUCUUAAUACUAACUCAGUUCAUGAUGUUGCUUAGACAUCAGAGUGUUAUCAAAAUUCGAAAGUCUACUUUAAAAAGAAUGCAACUGGAAAAUAAAAAUAGGUCAAUUCCUUUUGUGCUUCAUCCUAAUCAUUGGUUGUUAAUGAACUCCAGGUAUGGAGAAAUAACUAAAUUUAACAAUAUAAAAUGUCAUAAAGAUAAGCGAAAGUAUCUUCGUUUGCGACUAAUAUCUGCUUCUUUAUUUUGUCAAAAAAUAUUGUUAUCGGUUUAGUGAUAUCUGUUUGUAUUUGUUUAUAUUGCUUUCCAUCAGGAGAAAUCACAAGAAUGUUUUUUGAAUGUAUUCCGACGACGAAAACAUUCCCUUUAUCGUCUAUAGUUAUUCCUCCUGGCUUCUUCAAAACACUUUCAUUUUUGAACUGCCAAAAUAGUUUUUUCCUUUGAAAACAAGAUACUGUAUUUUUAGAAGGCACUGUAUAGACAAUCAUCUCACCUUGCGUCGUAAUGUACGAUUUUUCAGGAACGAAAGUGUUAGGAAUAUUGGUACAGCUAAAGUCUGUACAUGAUAUCUUACAUAUGCCAUUUCUGUUAUUGCAGCAAAACAAUGAUUCACCAUCGAAAGUGAUUCCAAAAGUUGCACUAGGUAAUUGAACAAACCUUUUCACUGUUCGAGUGAUCAAAUCAAUAAUCAUAACACCAGUCUUACCAUACGAAUAUCCCGUACUAACAGCUACUGUGUUGUCGUCUAUACAUGCUAAAUCGAAGGCACUAUGCAACAAUUCAAUGGUAUAUCCAGUCUUGCCAUUUGAGUUAACUGCCACAAUUUUCUCUCCAUGGCAUUUAUAAUCCGUAAAAAGAUAUCGACAUUUUUCUGUCACGAAACAUCCCGUCGUUUCAACACAGGCAGUUUUUAGUUUCUGCUUAAAACUCAAUGUUAUAUUGUUUACAGAUUGGUUUCCGUCUGUUACCAAUAUUUGAGCUUGUCUGUCUUUCUUCCUGGCUAAUUCGAAUGUUGCAGACGAGGAUCUUUCAAUCAUAAUGGAACCGAACUUCUUGACGUGUGUUAUACAUUCCUGUAUCUUUGCAUUGAUAGAAUAUUCCAGGUCGAUUUUUUCUACAUUCUUAUUUUCAACAAUGGACUGAAUGCAGUUCUCGUUUGUUGUUAUAAUGUUCUGAAUAUCUCUCAUUCCAAGGAAUGCUUGUACAUCUGACGCAAAUCUUUUAAUUUUUUCAAUCUCUGCUUUGCACUGAAC
rnacentral:lncRNA from 1 species